rnacentral:lncRNA from 1 species
AAAAAUCUAAAGCACCCAUAUUAUCUCUCUCAAUCUCUCAUGUCUCUGUUCAUAUUCUCAUGGAAAAGAGAUCCAGGUCUCUCUUAGAUUGGAACAACGAAGUUGGUCAUCGAUCCCACUCUCAAUCUCUCAUGUCUGUCUCUCUCUCCCUCAAACUCUCAUCUUUCUUCCUCUCCACAAGCAGAUCUUUGUCUCUCCCAAUUGCAAAUUUGCAGCAAGGACGUUAGGCCAUGGAUUCUGCGCUCAUCUCCACAUGGAAACAGAUCGUGUCUCUCCCAAAUUGCAGCAAGGAAUUUAGGGCAUGCAUCUCCUGCGCUCAUGGAGCUUAUUACAGUAAAAUUAUUUUCCUCAUCUAGAUCAAGUUCGUAUUCUUAGUCCUUGCACUGAUUUAUUUUCAGUUUCUUUUUGCCGGUCUGGAUUCAAUUCUUUUCAGGUUCAUCUUCUUAGUCCUCACACUAAUUUGUUUUGAAUUUCUUUUUGCCUGUUCGGAUUCAGUUGUUUUCAUCGUGCCCUUUAAUAGUGUUGCCUAGGGAUUCAAUCUCCUUUAUCGUGUGUCUUCUUGAAGCUGAUGAUUGCCAUGGCAAAAUAAAAUCAGUGUUCUCGAUCCCUCAAAAAACAAAACAAAAAAAAAUCUUUCUGUAGCGCACAGAAAAGAAACAUGUACCUUAUAUGUAGACAAAGACACGUCCAAGUACAACUCCAAUCCUUCCAAUAUGGGUGGAUCUCUAUUUUCUCACUAAUUGACCCUAUCAUUGACUCUUUGCUGUGAUUUGGCUUCCCAAAUCAUAGUUUUCUCAAUCCCUCAACCAAGAUGGGCAGGGGGUGGGGGAUAUGGAGAAGGACGGAGCUCCUGUUGUGGUUGGUGUCAUCGCAAAUGGUGGAUGUUGACCAUGCUGUCCCAUGGAGGGAAGGUAAUCUUGAAGAACAACUAUCUCGCAAAGACAUUGACCAUCCACUCAGCGCAACAGCAGGGUAAGCAUGAACACUAUGAUUUGUCGAAAACAACUAAAAGAAUCAUACUAUGUUAGAAAUAUAACAUUCUGAUUAUGUGCUCCGGCUGAAUUGUAGUAUUAAUUUUCUCAAAGUUUCUAGGCCAUGAUGGUUUAUGGAUCCAAGGAGUAGAUGCACUAACUGCAGUUUGAAGCCAAUGACUGCUAAUUUUCCAAAUGACAACAUCUCUGUUUUGUUUUAUCUUAUAACUAAGUUAAAAAUUGGAUAGCAUGUGUUUGAUGUUUUUCCUUCAAAUUAGAAUAAUUGCAGGUCUGCUUCUACGGCUAACGUAACCCAUCAUUACUAUCUUCCAGAUUUCAUAUAUUUAUUAUCACUAGAUGAAUUCAGGUCUGAUCGGGUCUUCCCUUUUUCACAUGUGCACAUUUUGCUAAAUGCCAUCUAAUUCCUGCCGUGAAUCACAAAUGGAAUUGCAGUCUAAAAGUUGUGGCACUUGAUUUGGAAACACCAUAAAAACCAUAUGAUGCUCCAACAUAAAGUAUCUUCUGAUUUUUAUGUUCCACUUAUUGAACAAUGCACUUCAAAAUUCACAUUUAUGCUAUGUACAGACAUAUGCAGGUACACUGGAGCAUAAUUCUAUCAAUUACCUAUGGAAGACAGUCCAACAUGGAUGCUCUUAAGAGUACAUGUAUGUAGCGUUUCAGUUUCUAUAGCAUGCACUCACCCCUACCCGCCAGUAUACACUUGAUCUGAUGAUGUUCACUUAAACAAGUUAUUUCAUCAUAUUUUCCACACAUUUCGCUCAACUAAAACAUGUGUAUGUUUAGUUUGUCUUCUUAAUUUCUUGACCAAUUCGCCAACGAGGCUAAAUACCUAUGGUUAUUUUGCGCCAAUUGUCCUUUGAGAUUGUUAAAAGAACUUCCCAGAGAUAUGUAACACUGUUGCUCCUGCUACUUUCGGCCAUUAUAUUAUUCACAUUAUUCAAACUUCUAUAAAUGCACAUCCAACUGCAUAAUUUCUUAGCUUAUCGAUUUUAUUUCUUCUAACUUUAUAAAUUCAGAAAUGAUUAUAACAAGGCUGCUGAGUUGUUGGAUUUAAUACAUGUACGUCAAAACUUAUGGCUUUUCAAAACUAUUUGUUCCCUCUUUUGGUCCUCUAAUACACAUUUUCCCUUUACGUUGGAUAACCAAUUCACUUUUGUGCUCAUUUUCUUGAGACAGUGAAGAUUUGUUUUGCUACUCAUGUAUAGAUAUAAAAUUUUAAUGGUCUUCACGAUCUAUCAAUCAAUAGAGAUUUGAACAAAAUCCGGUUGAUAUAAUAUGUACAAUUUGGCCCGCACAUGUUGAGAAGAGUAAUUUUUAAAGUAUAUUUAUAAAGUCUUUUUUAUUUCUAUGCAUGUACAAUAUAUAUUAGGACACUGGACAUGCUCACUACUGGAAUUCCCAAUUUUUCUGAGUGCCAAAUGCACUCGGCAAAGGCCAAAAAAACACGGCAGCACUAGGAAAACAUGACUAUAUUGGACGUCUGCCAACAAUGUUUAUUUUGUCGGGUUCUCUUCUAGAGGCACUAAGUAGACAACUGCAAAAAACUUCGCUCAGUGCAGAACAAGGGUAACUCGGUAAACAAAUGACAUAGACCGAAUGAUGAAACAAUGACCAUCCCACAUGACACCAUAGUUUUGCCAUUUUCUGCACUCGGCAAAACUAUGACCCAGUAGAGCUACCCAGAUGGCACCAUGUGUCAUGUUUAGGCAAAGGGGUCUUAGACACCAGACAUCUAACCUAACAGCGACUCUGAAUAUCCAUGUUGGUUGAUUGCUAGCCUGAUGCUAAUAUUUGGUGUGCUUUCCUCAAUUUAAAACCCCCAGGCAGGAUGUUUCUAAAAUCUACGUAUUAACAUCACCUGCAUCGUAUGUUUCUGUAGCAUUUGAGGAUGUGCACAUGGUGUAUAUGCUGAUGAAGGAAGCCUAGGAACAAGCAUAUUUACGACAUACAUGGAGAAGAUGGUGUCCAAUAAAGGGAAAAGCAGCGAAGUAAAACAUGAUUAGUUUAGAGUGACAUGAAAGCAGACUGUCUUUCAACAAUAGGUGGAUUCUAAAGAUAAGGACAGGUGUACAACGCAAGAGCUAUAAUAAGGCCUAACAUGGUUGUUGGAAGAUGUAUUUGUACAAUAAUAGGCAUGCACAUGCAGCUGUAGUAAAAAGAGUUAAUAACUUAAUAUGAGAUAUUCAAUUCCAGUGCCUGAAUGAAAAUAGCUGAACAAAUUUCUGUAAUAUAGCAGCCCAAUAGUUUGUAUAAAUACGGAUGCAUGCAGGUGAUGAUAGACACUAUAUCAUGUCUGAUCCAUAAGUAAGUGUGUGUUGUGCAUUAAGUUUUCGAUUCUUUGUGAUAUGUUUUGAUUAGUUCUGUAGCAUCCAGUUUAACAUCUUAUGUCGCAGACAUUU